rnacentral:rRNA from 1 species
AUUGAACGCUGGCGGCAGGCCUAACACAUGCAAGUCGAGCGGAGCGGCGGACGGGUGAGUAAUGCCUGGGAAUCUGCCUGGUAGUGGGGGAUAACGUCCGGAAACGGGCGCUAAUACCGCAUACUAUCAGAUGAGCCUAGGUCGGAUUAGCUAGUUGGUGGGGUAAAGGCCUACCAAGGCGACGAUCCGUAACUGGUCUGAGAGGAUGAUCAGUCACACUGGAACUGAGACACGGCCCAGACUCCUACGGGAGGCAGCAGUAGGGAAUCUUCGGCAAUGGGGGGAACCCUGACCGAGCAACGCCGCGUGUGUGAAGAAGGCCUUCGGGUUGUAAAGCACUUUCAGCGAGGAGGCGUUACUCGCAGAAGAAGCACCGGCUAACUCCGUGCCAGCCGCCGCGGUAAUAC